CUAAUACAUGCAAGUCGAGCGAACAGACAAGGAGCUUGCUCCUUUGACGUUAGCGGCGGACGGGUGAGUAACACGUGGGUAACCUACCUAUAAGACUGGGAUAACUUCGGGAAACCGGAGCUAAUACCGGAUAAUAUUUCGAACCGCAUGGUUCGAUAGUGAAAGAUGGUUUUGCUAUCACUUAUAGAUGGACCCGCGCCGUAUUAGCUAGUUGGUAAGGUAACGGCUUACCAAGGCGACGAUACGUAGCCGACCUGAGAGGGUGAUCGGCCACACUGGAACUGAGACACGGUCCAGACUCCUACGGGAGGCAGCAGUAGGGAAUCUUCCGCAAUGGGCGAAAGCCUGACGGAGCAACGCCGCGUGAGUGAUGAAGGUCUUCGGAUCGUAAAACUCUGUUAUUAGGGAAGAACAUACGUGUAAGUAACUAUGCACGUCUUGACGGUACCUAAUCAGAAAGCCACGGCUAACUACGUGCCAGCAGCCGCGGUAAUACGUAGGUGGCAAGCGUUAUCCGGAAUUAUUGGGCGUAAAGCGCGCGUAGGCGGUUUUUUAAGUCUGAUGUGAAAGCCCACGGCUCAACCGUGGAGGGUCAUUGGAAACUGGAAAACUUGAGUGCAGAAGAGGAAAGUGGAAUUCCAUGUGUAGCGGUGAAAUGCGCAGAGAUAUGGAGGAACACCAGUGGCGAAGGCGACUUUCUGGUCUGUAACUGACGCUGAUGUGCGAAAGCGUGGGGAUCAAACAGGAUUAGAUACCCUGGUAGUCCACGCCGUAAACGAUGAGUGCUAAGUGUUAGGGGGUUUCCGCCCCUUAGUGCUGCAGCUAACGCAUUAAGCACUCCGCCUGGGGAGUACGACCGCAAGGUUGAAACUCAAAGGAAUUGACGGGGACCCGCACAAGCGGUGGAGCAUGUGGUUUAAUUCGAAGCAACGCGAAGAACCUUACCAAAUCUUGACAUCCUUUGACAACUCUAGAGAUAGAGCCUUCCCCUUCGGGGGACAAAGUGACAGGUGGUGCAUGGUUGUCGUCAGCUCGUGUCGUGAGAUGUUGGGUUAAGUCCCGCAACGAGCGCAACCCUUAAGCUUAGUUGCCAUCAUUAAGUUGGGCACUCUAAGUUGACUGCCGGUGACAAACCGGAGGAAGGUGGGGAUGACGUCAAAUCAUCAUGCCCCUUAUGAUUUGGGCUACACACGUGCUACAAUGGACAAUACAAAGGGCAGCGAAACCGCGAGGUCAAGCAAAUCCCAUAAAGUUGUUCUCAGUUCGGAUUGUAGUCUGCAACUCGACUACAUGAAGCUGGAAUCGCUAGUAAUCGUAGAUCAGCAUGCUACGGUGAAUACGUUCCCGGGUCUUGUACACACCGCCCGUCACACCACGAGAGUUUGUAACACCCGAAGCCGGUGGAGUAACCAUUUGGAGCUAGCCGUCGAAGGUGG
rnacentral:rRNA from 1 species